rnacentral:rRNA from 1 species
GGUCCAGACUCCUACGGGAGGCAGCAGUAGGGAAUCUUCCGCAAUGGGCGAAAGCCUGACGGAGCAACGCCGCGUGAGUGAUGAAGGUCUUCGGAUCGUAAAACUCUGUUAUUAGGGAAGAACAUAUGUGUAAGUAACUGUGCACAUCUUGACGGUACCUAAUCAGAAAGCCACGGCUAACUACGUGCCAGCAGCCGCGGUAAUACGUAGGUGGCAAGCGUUAUCCGGAAUUAUUGGGCGUAAAGCGCGCGUAGGCGGUUUUUUAAGUCUGAUGUGAAAGCCCACGGCUCAACCGUGGAGGGUCAUUGGAAACUGGAAAACUUGAGUGCAGAAGAGGAAAGUGGAAUUCCAUGUGUAGCG